UACGGAGGGUGCAAGCGUUAUCCGGAUUCACUGGGUUUAAAGGGUGUGUAGGCGGGCUAUUAAGUCAGUGGUGAAAUCUCCGGGCUCAACCCGGAAACUGCCAUUGAUACUAUUAGUCUUGAAUAUCGUUGAGGUUGGCGGAAUAUAUCAUGUAGCGGUGAAAUGCAUAGAUAUGAUAUAGAACACCGAUUGCGGAGGCAGCUAACUAAGCGAUGAUUGACGCUGAGGCACGAAAGCGUGGGGAUCAAACAGG
rnacentral:rRNA from 1 species